CAUUUUUAUUGUCUUGAAGCCAUGUGAUAGGUCACGCCCAGUAUCAUGGUGUCCAUAUGUGAAGGCCACCAGGCGCCUGCACAAAAGACCUCAAGCUAGAAGCACCUGGCUAAGCGCUCCUGACCACCUGACCCAUGGAACCUUUUAAGAGAGCAGAGUUUAUUGCUGUAAGGAAUCAAGGACAUGUAGGGCUCUUCUGAGGGUCACGGGAGUCCACGGAGACGAAGGACUUGGUUUAGUCCCAGAACAUGGGACAGGCGAGUGCUGACUUUCCGGGAUCUGCGCUGGAAGCUUGACCUACUUCUUCAAGAAAAUGAUUUGAAGAUAACAGAAUAG
rnacentral:lncRNA from 1 species